AAGAACGAGACGAAGAAUUCUGCUGGGGAGAAUUCAGGGAAUGCUAAUGGUAGUAGUAAUAAGAAGCCCACCAUUGUGAGGUCCCCCAGGAGAAAGAUGAACCGUCAGCACCGUAGCAAGGAAGACAAGAGAUUAAAAGAAUCUUCCGGCUCUGCUGCUCUGGUGAAUGAAGGAAGUGAUCAACGGAACGGGGCUAACUCUCCGC
rnacentral:ribozyme from 1 species